rnacentral:lncRNA from 1 species
CGCCCAAUAUAUGCUUGUAGAAGGAUCGUGUAAAAUGAACAUCAAGAAGUUGACCAUCAAAUAACGCCUUCCCAACCUGGGAUGUACGUAAAGCACAUGAGAUAUUGUUAAACUGAAUGACUCAAGCAAAAUAGAAAAAAGUAGGUACUCACAACUCGCCCAACAAAUUUGAAGUAUGAAAGGUGCUCAGUUUGGUAUACGGAGUUGGGAUUUGGCUGAAAUGUUGCUUCAUUGCCAACUGUAGUAAACAACAGUGCUCCCUUAUCAAAAAUUACUCUGGACAGCAACUGAUACCAUUCCCUAGUAAGUCCACCAGCAUCAAUCCCUUCUUCCCCUUGGAAAUGAACAGUCAACCUCCCUUUCAAUUCUUGAGUUGUUCUCAUGCGCAGCUGAUUAUAUGAAUCUUCAAGUAUAUAAGCUCUCCUCACAGAAAUUCUCAGAGGACUAUGAUGAUGAUCAUGUUGAUGUUUAAUCUUAGAUCUAAAGUGGGAUCUUUUAUUGUCAAAAUCAACAAAACGAGGAACCUUCAGCAUGAUGGAGAAAGACUUCUCUAGUAGGCCAGGAUUCUGCCGUACAAACGCAUUAAGGAGUUUCCUGUGCUUUUCUGCAAACUCUAGUAGGCCAGGAUUCUGCCGGACAAACGCAUUAAGGAGUUUCCUGUGCUUCUCUGCAAAUUUUACGAAAGCAAUGUGCUUCUCAUCAACUUUCAUCGCAGAUGUAGGUGUUUUCGGCUGCAUAGCAGAAGCAGUUGCUUCUUCUGGAUCAGGAAUUGUAGCAAUACUAAAAUCCUGCCCUGCACCCAAAAGUCCAGGAUGCAACUUCUCACACAUCACAAAAAAUGACUCUAUGUACGGUAAAAUAUUUUGUGUGCCUGCUGGAAGUGGAGGCAUUGCUCCAGAAGGUUUAGAUGUGGUAACCAGGGACGAGUGUGACGGGUUGGUUGCUGUUUCAGAAAAACACUCUAUUUUGCUAAUACAAGUGCUCAGCUCCUGCCAUAGAGGUUCUAAAGCUGUGUUAAUGUCCAAAACCAGGCUGACAGUAGCACCAUGCUCCUUCUCAGAAAGAAUUUGAUUAUCCUUGUUCUUGUCAUCAAUUGAGGCAACAAGAGUGCUUAAUGCUUGUAAAACUCUGAGUAUCACGGCACCAUCAGUUGAAGUGGUACUGAGCAGUGCUUUUUCUACUUCCCUAAACUUGUUUAACUCGUCCAACGCAGAUCUUGUUAGGCUUUGCACAGAGCCAGCUAGCUCAGUAAUAAAUAAAUGACAAAGGGCGGGAGCUAUGGCCACCAAUUUUUUCAGUACCUCAGCUACCAAUGAGUAAGCAUUGUCUGACAGACUACCAAAAGAAGAAAACAUUAAACAACUUCAAUAAUGAAUAAAUUAUAUAUUAUUCAGCAACAUUUAGUAUAAAAAACCACUGAAGGUUCAAAAUGUACUUGGUCAUGUGAAAAGCCAAAAGAAGAAAACAUUAAACAGCUUCAACAAUGAAUAACUUAUAUAUUAUUCAGCAACAUUAAGCAUAAAAAAACCACUGAAGGUUCAAAAUGUACUUGGUCGUGUGAAAAGGAUAGCUGAGUCUUACAUUUCAAGGAAGUGCAUGUGCAACCAAACACAUAAUUUUGUGCCUCAUACAGAAGCCACAUGCAUGAAAAUUUUGAAAAUAACACCACACUAAGCAAUUAGUUUAGUUAUUUAAGUCUUCCUUUGAAAAGAAAGAAAAUAUUCAGCUAGUACAAAAUUAGUUCAGUACAUCAAUAAGCCAGCCAACUCACAAGACUAUCAAUCAAGGAGGCAUACCCCCCGCCCCCCAAAAAAAAACAAAAGGAAGCAUCUCAUAAGAAGUACUAUCUGCUGAACUUAUCAAAUCUAACAAGAGAUGCUCUUUUUUACGUAAUAUCUACUGAAGUUCAAACCAGAGUAUUUAACAUUUUAAAAUACAUCAGUCCAAUAGCACUAAAGCAGCAUGUAGAAACAAAUACUGUCAAACGACUAGAAUAAGCACAUUACAGGAUAAGGAACUAGCUUACCCUUCUCUGGCAAGCAAUGAGCACAGGAGUCGAAGUUCUAAUUGUGGAAGACUAAGCAAAAUACUUUCAGUAGUUUGGUCUCCGCCUGCACCAGAGGAUGAGGCUCCGGACUUGUCCUCAACCUCAGAUGAAGCUGCAUGAGAUUCAGUAUUCAUCUCAGCAGUAGAUUGAACUGGAGGAUCAGUUGGUUGUUCUGUAGAGGACGAUCCAGGUUCUUCACGUGCAUUUGAUUUGCUUUCGGUGUUCAGGACUAUAACAUCUAGCAGAUUUAACAGCUAGAUCCAAAAGAGAAAUUGUUAGACGCCAAGAAAUACCAACUAUUGACUACUCAAAGAGACAUCCCACUUGUGCAAACUACCUGCUCUAGAUGCGCGACACUUCUCAGGUAAAGGGGAUGAUUCAAGAGGCCCAAAAGCAAUGCAAGAGCUACUUGUCCUUCAAGCUGCCAUCUUUCCGGUCCAUCAGCCUCAACCAUCACAGCUUUUCCGCGUCUCUGAUCUGGACUUAUUGGCCCUUCCACCACUAGUCGAGGGAGCCUGAAUUCAAG